AGAGUUUGAUCCUGGCUCAGGAUUAACGCUAGCGGCAGGCCUAAUACAUGCAAGUCGAACGGGAUCAGUUGUAGCAAUAUGGCUGUGAGAGUGGCGCACGGGUGAGUAACACGUAUGCAACCUACCUCUAACUGGGGAAUAGCCUUCCGAAAGGAAGAUUAAUACCGCAUAAUAUUAUGAAGAGACAUCUCUUUAUAAUCAAACUUUUAAGGGUUAGAGAUGGGCAUGCGUCCGAUUAGUUUGUUGGUGAGGUAACGGCUCACCAAGACUACAAUCGGUAGGGGGUCUGAGAGGAUGAUCCCCCACACUGGUACUGAGACACGGACCAGACUCCUACGGGAGGCAGCAGUGAGGAAUAUUGGACAAUGGAGGAGACUCUGAUCCAGCCAUGCCGCGUGCAGGAAGACGGCCCUAUGGGUUGUAAACUGCUUUUAUACAGGAAGAAACCACCCCACGUGUGGGGAGCUGACGGUACUGUAAGAAUAAGCACCGGCUAACUCCGUGCCAGCAGCCGCGGUAAUACGGAGGGUGCAAGCGUUAUCCGGAAUCAUUGGGUUUAAAGGGUCCGUAGGCGGCUUAUUAAGUCAGAGGUGAAAUCCUGCAGCUCAACUGUAGAACUGCCAUUGAAACUGUUAAUCUUGAGUAUAGUUGAGGUAGGCGGAAUAUACCAUGUAGCGGUGAAAUGCGUAGAUAUGAUAUAGAACACCAAUUGCGAAGGCAGCUUACUAAAUUAUAACUGACGCUGAGGCACGAAAGCGUGGGUAGCGAACAGGAUUAGAUACCCUGGUAGUCCACGCCCUAAACGAUGAUUACUCGAUAUUGGCGAUACACUGUCAGUAUUCUAGCGAAAGUGUUAAGUAAUCCACCUGGGGAGUACGAUCGCAAGGUUGAAACUCAAAGGAAUUGACGGGGGCCCGCACAAGCGGAGGAGCAUGUGGUUUAAUUCGAUGAUACGCGAGGAACCUUACCUGGGCUUGAAAGUUAGUGACAGUUCCUGAAAGGGAACCAUCAGCAAUGACACGAAACUAGGUGCUGCAUGGCUGUCGUCAGCUCGUGCCGUGAGGUGUUGGGUUAAGUCCCGUAACGAGCGCAACCCCUAUCAUUAGUUGCCAACAGGUUAAGCUGGGGACUCUAAUGAGACUGCCCGCGCAAGCGGUGAGGAAGGUGGGGAUGACGUCAAGUCAUCACGGCCCUUACGUCCAGGGCUACACACGUGCUACAAUGGCAGAUACAGUGGGUGGCUACAUGGCAACAUGAUGCUAAUCUCAAAAGUCUGUCUCAGUUCGGAUUGAGGUCUGCAACUCGACCUCAUGAAGCCGGAUUCGCUAGUAAUCGGAAAUCAGCAAUGUUCCGGUGAAUACGUUCCCGGGCCUUGUACACACCGCCCGUCAAGCCAUGGAAGUUGGGGGUACCUGAAGUCGAUAACCGCAAGGAGUCGCCUAGGGUAAAACCGAUAACUGGGGCUAAGUCGUAACAAGGUAACC
rnacentral:rRNA from 1 species